GCUGGGCCGAGCCGGCGAUCCUACUAGGAUGUAGAGCUGGCCGGUAAGGAGCUAGGAUCAUUGUAGUUUCUACUUCCUAGAUGUGAUUAAUACGUUGCAAAUUGAAAUUUAAGCAAGAAGAGGCUUCGUGCCGUGCAAUCUUUAUUGUUUACCUGAACAGUCUGCACUCUGUGGCAUGUUGUUGCUACAUGUCAUGUCACAUUUGUUUCAGUUUUCAUUUAUCACAGCGUUAAACAAAAUUGCAUAGUCAUUUGAAAUCAAAAUUGCUUGUGAUUACAUCUGUGCCAAAGUGAGAGCCAAAGUCUUAGUGUUUCCAUUAUCCAUCUAACUGAAUUUUGUAACCAAGUAUUCUAAGUUUUGAUUUAAAUAGAAGUAGAGAGUAAGAUUUAUGUGAAAACUUUUCACUUGAAGGGAAAGCAAGUGCAAAGGCAAUCCUGAUGGAUGCAGAAAAGCAUAUUACAAGAAAUGGUAUACAUUAAUAUAAGAUAUAACAAGUCAUACUUGUGAAAAAAAUAGAGAAAAGAACACCAUUUACCUGCAUACUUUGGAGCAAUUGCAGGUAUUUUGUGAUUCUAAAAUCACUAGCUUUUUUUAUCAUUUAUUAAGAUGCAAUAAGAGCUGCAGCUUCUAAACAGAUGCUUACAUCUUAAACCAAGAGAAGCUACCAACGAGGAAUUGACAAUACACACACCUCAAAUGUAUUCUAAAAAGUAUGACAGUCUUUUUCAAUUAGGAAGCAUUGGAACGGAUGAGCUCCAAAUGUAUUUUUUCAUCCAAGCACCUAUGAUUAGUCGCCAUUGGCUGCCGGAAUAAUAGUUGAACUGAUGCCUUAUAUAUUAGAUGAGAAAAUUAAGGAUGCAAUGAUCAGUAUAAGACCACUAUGUCAUAGAGCCAUGAAGAGUGAAUAUUGUGGUUACUGUUUCUACAAUAAUGGGGCAAUCGCCGCGCAAUAUGCGCUUAACAAUCACGAUCUUAAAAGGUCAUUAAUUGUGGAUUAGGAUAAUCAUCAUCGACAAGCUACUCAACAUAUGUUUUAUGACGAUAAAUUUAUUAUUUUUACCAAGUGCUAUCAAAACGGUGCAUUUUUGGCGUCACUCCAUGAGUCCGGCCAUCACAACAUCGGUCGUGGGGCCAUGACAUUUUCCCUUUAUCGACAAACGUAAACUGAAACUUUCCAUAGUUCGCUUGCUGCGGAAUUCUGUGACCUUUCAGUUCGACUUUAAUUGUCCCGAAGUGACUUUGACGGCCAUUUGAGUUUCUUUCUCACGGUUCUGCAGCCAAAACUUUAAUCUGAGACUUUGCUCGUCAUGCUCGUGAUGGUGAUCGCCGGAAAAAUACCUGUUGGUACAGGGCUUUGACAUCAGUAGAAUCCUUGUUUCGGAUAAUUUCAAGACACAAGUCCGAAACGACUGAUGCAUUUCGAACAAUGUCUGACGUUGGUAGAUUGUAUUCGAAUGCGUUGAUGUAAAUAUGGCUUACAUCAUUCUCUACCGCAGACACUCGUCGAUAAAAUGGCUUUCCAGUCUAUGGCACAAUCUAUAGCGGCAAGGAUAAGUUCUUUUUGAAGAUGAGAGCAGCGGUUGAUGUCUUUGCUGUCUUUAGAUGUUUUUGCAGAAGGAUCUUUAGAAAUGACACCUGUUCCACUACAUGGAGCGUCCAGCAAUACACGAUUGUAUCCCCUACUCAUCUACAACACAAUCUCUAAAGUAAGAUAUGACAUAUGCCGAAAAUGUUAAGUAGCAAACCUUGGGCAGAACUUUUCCGUCGUAGGUCAGCACGACAGCGUUUGUAACUCCAAGACGGUGGAGGUUACCAACGACAGCCUUGGCUCGGUCAGGAUUCGCAUCGUUUGCAAAGAGCAUACCCUUGAUUUUUUCAAAGUCCAUCAAGCUACCCAAUGAAAGUGAAACCAAAUUGUACCUAAGAGAAAAAUGAUAAUAAUUUUUUAAUUAAAACAAGAAUAGGAUUAGGUUAGGGGUGGAGAACCAAUAGGCUCAAACCAUUUAGGGGUGGAGAACCAAGAGGCUCAAUCCAAUUUGCUGUGGAGAACCAAGAGGUUCGAUCCAGUUUGCUGUGGAGAACCAAGAGGUUCGAUCCAGUUUGCUGUGGAGAACCGAGGCUCAAUCCAGUUUGUCGUGGAUAUCACAAACUGUAACGACGCCGUCAGCCAUGACACCAAGACAAACUGCGGUAGGGACCUAUCCCUAGAUGGCCUAACCCGAUUUGUUGACCUUCAGCUGCACGUGUGUGUGUUUUACUUGUUUUCAAACUGAAUAUUGCAGUGCAAGUUGUGCAAAAUGGAGCCACAAAAAAGUGUCCCUUCAAAAGUAAAUUUAACUAGCAAUGUAGUUGGAAAUAAUAGAAAUAGGGGACGGAGCGAGGAAGGAAAAGAAAAACAAAAACGAAGGAGGAACAGAUACAAAUUGCAAAAUGCAACUCCAUUUGUUAAUGUUCCUUCCACAGAAGUCGACAAAAUGGAAGAUCCAAUCGGCGACGGCGAUCCCUUGAAAAUUGAUUUAAUGCCAUCCACGUCUGCAGAUGAUAAUUCUCAUGAAGCAGACGUGGUGGCAGAUGAAUCUUUCAUCGUAGAUGAAAUUGUAAGUGUAAGGAUCCAUUGGAAAUCUGGAAACAGCCAGAAGAUGCAGUUCUGUUCAUUGACCUAGCCAACAAUAUUACGCGUCACAGCAAUAAAGAAUAGAUUCUGGAGCUAAUUAAAGCUGACAUCCAAAAGGAUAUCCAUCUAUUGUCGGAACAACUGGAACAAAUCAAUGCAAACUGUUCCACUUUGUUUGAAAAAUUCAAUAAAUUUAAUCAGCUUUUAGAGGGUUGCACUUGGAUUCCGCUCCACGACUCGAAUAACACUAUUCCAUGAUGAUAUUAAAGUUGCAUUGCAAAUUUGUUUGUAAUUUGUUAACCACCACUGUCUUCCCUUCGCAUGCAAUACAAAGAAGUUGACAUAA